AACAAUUACAACAAUUUACUGUAAUAAAAGUUACUGUAGAUCUUAGCAACCUCAGCGUAUGAUUGUUUUCUUUCCUUACUAAGACAAGAACUUUCACCUUUUCACUUAAAGGAGGCACUUGAUGGCUUCUCUUUGGCAUAGCCGAAUUGCCAGCUUCACUACUUUUGCACUUUGUUGCCAUUAUCAAGUAAAAUAAGGGUCACUUGAACACAAGCACUGCAAUUUUGCCACAGCUGAUCUGAUAACUGAGACGGCCACUGAGUGACUAAGGGGCAGGUAGCUUUUACAGCGUGGAUCCCGGGGGACAAAGGGAUGACUCAUGUCCAGGAUGGGAUAGAGCAGGAUGGCGGGAGGUUUCAUAGGCUACUCAGAAUGGUGUGCAAUUUAAAACUUCUGAAUUGUUUAUUUCUGGAGUUUUCCAUUUAAUAUUUUUGGACCACAGUUGACUGCAGGUAACUGAAACCUCGAAAGCAAAACCAUGGAUAAGGGGAGACUAACUACCGUUCUGCUUUUUUCACUAUGUCAUUCCACUAUGUGAUAGACAAGAAUCUCUGGGGAAGCUCUAAUGUGGAGUAAAAGUUUUAGUCAAAGACAUUCUCAUUUUCUUCCCUAACAGGACAUUCAAAACCUCGGUGGUCUCUAAAUUUCUCCCCCACGAGAGAGACUCCUUUACCUGCUAGGAUUGGAAGGACAUGGGUCUCCUGCCUGGAGGAUUAGUUUGUUUGCAGUAAGCACUCAGCCGCGGUUCUCUUAGCCACACAGUGCACAGAGCUCAGCUCCUCAGCACCCACCCUCCCUGACAGACCUUUAGGUGAUGGGCGAGAAGGUGGACAAGCGGACGCUCCCAUUUCAGCUUCAGCCUUACACUAUGCAAACAAUCAAUGUUCAGUUUCCCGAGGUCAUCUUUGGCCUCUGAGACUAAAAACUGCACAGGAGAAAAGGAUGCUACAGUAUCAGUCUGCUAGAGGAGACAGUAUUUGCGUGAUCGAAGGUUUUCAGUGACGGCGUCUCAUCGCUCUCUGUGGAUUCACAGGAGGCAGGCGUGGGACUUGUGAGCACUAAUCCUUUUACAUUAUAAGACUUUUAUUUUGAGAUUUAUAUUGGCCCUCAGGAUAUCCAUAAACCUUCUUAAAUUGUAUGAAAAUUUGAUAAUUAUGUACAUUAUUUUCCUGGAGAGUUUGCCUAUAGUUUUUAUCAGAUUCUUUGUGUGUGUGCAAGACCAAAAAGUUGUUAAUGAAAACAACUAUACUGUCCUUUCGCUAUCUCUUCUGUUAUCCAUACAUUAAAACGUGUUCUCCUUUUCGCUGUCUGCUACCUUCUUUCAUAACUCUGUAACCAAUAAAAAAAUAAUAAUAAAAAGCA
rnacentral:lncRNA from 1 species